AAUGAGACCAGGAUUAGAGACAUGAGGAGAACAUCAGAACAGAGCAGAUAGAAGCACAUACCUGUACAGUUAGGAAUUACAAAGGACCGACACGGUGGCGGUAGUCUGACAGGAAUCAGUGAAGUGUUAUCUGGAUCCGGGACACGCAGGUUAAUCACCGUUCUCUCUCGAACUGAAUGAAACAGACGGUGAGUCAGUCUCUGCAGGUGAGCGGGAAGAAGAACCGACCCCGAGGUGAUCAUGGAGGGUAGAAACCCAUGAUGAUGGCUCUACAUGAAGACAGCCACAGCCUGAAAUUAAUGCUAACAGUGUGGCUUGACAGCAUGCAAAUCAACUGUCAUCCGUCACCACUCUGAGGAGGGAGUGUGGGGUCCAAAGUGGAGCGAGAUGGCCGAGGCGGUAUUGCAUUGUGGUGGAGGUUAAGCUGCAACAGGAAUCAUCACCGGAUCUAUCAGAUAUGAUUUAGCAGCAGCCAAGCCUGACAUCUCACUCUGGGUGGAGAUGCUUCUUCAAAGGAUCCUGGAUUAAACAUCGUGUUCAGACUGAUGGAUUAUCUGCAGACUGGUGCAGGUCUGAUCAGGAUCAGAGUCUGUGGUGGUUUUAUGGUGGGUCAGCAGGUUAUGUAACAGUAUGACUAGCUAGUUUUAAACAUGACAGCACCAUGUUUUAAUGUUCAGUCUGCACGCUCCGUCUGGGUCUGACCCUGCCCUCUUCCUCACAGUGGCCUCGCCCAGGUAAACAGCAGUAAACAAAGGCCAAGGUGGUGUUUGAAGAUGAUUCUGCACUCAGACGGAGCUGUUAUGUAACUGUCAGUUUGUUUCUGUUGGCGAUCAGAGCGGCUGAAUCUAAACAUUCCUCUCAAACCGCCAAAUGACUCAUCUUUCAUCGGCUGAGGAUUUCUGCGGACCAAAUGUUUGGAUUUCUCCGCUAAGAAGGGAACAGUUUGGGUCAGAGCUUUUUUCCUGUUUGUAACUGAGCAUGAAUACUUGGGCUGCUUAUAACGUCGGAUUUAUUCCCGUGAUGAUGAUAAUGCAAAAUCAGCAGCGGCUAAUCUGGAGAGCCAGGAGAAUUCCUAGUGGACUGGGCUACUUUUGGAUGGUGAGGGCCAGAGUACAGCAACAAUGAAGUGAUCAUACAGGCUGCAGUUGUUAUGUGUGUUCUCAUUGUUUGAGUUGUGUAACAUUCCCCUCACAACUCCCUUUCUUUCUCUGUAUCUCCCUCUCUCACUGCACCUGAUUUCAGUGUCCAGUGCAAGUCCAGUUGUAAAACUGCAGAGAGAAACUGUAACUUUGUAAAACCUGUGACACCAGUAAGCUGUAGCCCCAUGAUCAAGAUGUUUAAAGUGACCUUUUGUGCUUUUUAAAUUCUUAAUUGUAUAAAUGUAUUGCAAUAAAUUUACUAAGUCCACGGUUAUAUAACGUCUGUAAAAGGUUGUGACCUAAAGUGGUCUGGUCUAAACCAUGACAUUCCAGGACUAAAUAUGGGACCCUGAGUAUCAGGACGCCAGAGUGGAUUUUAUCUCUGAAUCUAGAAGCUC